UACAGAGGGUGCAAGCGUUGUCCGGAUUUAUUGGGCGUAAAGAGCUCGUAGGCGGCUUGUCGCGUCGUCCGUGAAAACCCACAGCUCAACUGUGGGCUUGCGGUCGAUACGGGCAGGCUAGAGUUCGGUAGGGGAGACUGGAAUUCCUGGUGUAGCGGUGAAAUGCGCAGAUAUCAGGAGGAACACCGAUGGCGAAGGCAGGUCUCUGGGCCGAUACUGACGCUGAGGAGCGAAAGCGUGGGGAGCGAACAGG
rnacentral:rRNA from 1 species